GACGAACGCUGGCGGCGUGCUUAACACAUGCAAGUCGAACGGAAAGGCCCCUCCUUUGUGGGGUGCUCGAGUGGCGAACGGGUGAGUAACACGUGGGUAACCUGCCCUUGACUUUGGGAUAACUUCAGGAAACUGGGGCUAAUACCGGAUAGGAGCUCCGGCUGCAUGGUGGGGGGUGGAAAGUUUCGGCGGGUGGGGAUGGACCCGCGGCUUAUCAGCUUGUUGGUGGGGUAGUGGCUUACCAAGGCUUUGACGGGUAGCCGGCCUGAGAGGGUGAACGGCCACAUUGGGACUGAGAUACGGCCCAGACUCCUACGGGAGGCAGCAGUGGGGAAUAUUGCACAAUGGGCGGAAGCCUGAUGCAGCAACGCCGCGUGGGGGAUGACGGCCUUCGGGUUGUAAACCGCUUUCGCCAGUGACGAAGCGUGAGUGACGGUACCUGGUAAAGAAGCACCGGCUAACUACGUG
rnacentral:rRNA from 1 species